rnacentral:rRNA from 1 species
CCUACGGGGUGCUGCAGUGAGGAAUAUUGGUCAAUGGACGAGAGUCUGAACCAGCCAAGUAGCGUGAAGGAUGACUGCCCUAUGGGUUGUAAACUUCUUUUAUAUGGGAAUAAAACGUUCCACGUGUGGGAUUUUGUAUGUACCAUAUGAAUAAGGAUAGGCUAACUCCGUGCCAGCAGCCGCGGUAAUACGGAGGAUCCGAGCGUUAUCCGGAUUUAUUGGGUUUAAAGGGAGCGUAGGUGGAUUGUUAAGUCAGUUGUGAAAGUUUGCGGCUCAACCGUAAAAUUGCAGUUGAAACUGGCAGUCUUGAGUACAGUAGAGGUGGGCGGAAUUCGUGGUGUAGCGGUGAAAUGCUUAGAUAUCACGAAGAACUCCGAUUGCGAAGGCAGUUCACUGGACUGCAACUGACACUGAGGCUCGAAAGUGUGGGUAUCAAACAGGAUUAGAUACCCUUGUAGUC